rnacentral:rRNA from 1 species
AGUGAACGCUGGCGGUAGGCCUAAUACAAGCAAGUCGAACGGCAGCACAGUAAGAGCUUGCUCUUACGGGUGGCGAGUGGCGGACGGGUGAGGAAUACAUCGGAAUCUACUUUUUCGUGGGGGAUAACGUAGGGAAACUUACGCUAAUACCGCAUACGACCUACGGGUGAAAGCAGGGGAUCUUCGGACCUUGCGCGAUUGAAUGAGCCGAUGUCGGAUUAGCUAGUUGGCGGGGUAAAGGCCCACCAAGGCGACGAUCCGUAGCUGGUCUGAGAGGAUGAUCAGCCACACUGGAACUGAGACACGGUCCAGACUCCUACGGGAGGCAGCAGUGGGGAAUAUUGGACAAUGGGCGCAAGCCUGAUCCAGCCAUACCGCGUGGGUGAAGAAGGCCUUCGGGUUGUAAAGCCCUUUUGUUGGGAAAGAAAAGCAGCAGGUUAAUACCCCGCUGUUCUGACGGUACCCAAAGAAUAAGCACCGGCUAACUUCGUG